AGAGUUUGAUCCUGGCUCAGGAUGAACGCUGGCGGCAUGCCUAAUACAUGCAAGUCGAACGGACGGAAGAGAAAAGCUUGCUUUUUUUGGAAGUCAGUGGCGAACGGGUGAGUAACACGUAGGUAACCUGCCCAUGUGCCCGGGAUAAUUUCUGGAAACGGAAACUAAAACCGGAUAGGUAGGGAUCUCGCAUGAGGACCUUAUUAAAGGGGCUACGGCCCUGAACAUGGAUGGACCUGCGGUGCAUUAGCUGGUUGGUGGGGUAACGGCCUACCAAGGCGACGAUGCAUAGCCGACCUGAGAGGGCGAACGGCCACAUUGGGACUGAGACACGGCCCAAACUCCUACGGGAGGCAGCAGUAGGGAAUUUUCGUCAAUGGGGGGAACCCUGAACGAGCAAUGCCGCGUGAGUGAAGACGGUUUUCGGACUGUAAAGCUCUGUUGUAAGAGAAAAACGGCCGACAUAGGGAAUGAUGUCGGAGUGAUGGUAUCUUACCAGAAAGUCACGGCUAACUACGUGCCAGCAGCCGCGGUAAUACGUAGGUGGCGAGCGUUAUCCGGAAUGAUUGGGCGUAAAGGGUGCGUAGGCGGUACGGUAAGUCUGUAGUAAAAGGCGGCAGCUCAACUGUCGUAGGCUAUGGAAACUGUCGAACUAGAGUGCAGAAGAGGGCGAUGGAACUCCAUGUGUAGCGGUAAAAUGCGUAGAUAUAUGGAAGAACACCAGUGGCGAAGGCGGUCGCCUGGUCUGUAACUGACGCUGAAGCACGAAAGCGUGGGGAGCAAAUAGGAUUAGAUACCCUAGUAGUCCACGCCGUAAACG
rnacentral:rRNA from 1 species